UAGGCUGCAACUCGCCUACAUGAAGUCGGAAUCGCUAGUAAUCGCGGAUCAGCAUGCCGCGGUGAAUACGUUCCCGGGCCUUGUACACACCGCCCGUCACACCAUGGGAAGCCCGGUAAUACCCGAAGUCAGUAGUCCAACCUCGUGAGGACGCUGCCGAAGGUAGGAUUGGCGACUGGGGUGAAGUCGUAACAAGGUAAC
rnacentral:rRNA from 1 species